rnacentral:rRNA from 1 species
GUGGGGAAUUUUGGACAAUGGGCGCAAGCCUGAUCCAGCAAUGCCGCGUGCAGGAAGAAGGCCUUCGGGUUGUAAACUGCUUUUGUACGGAACGAAACGGUCCUGGUUAAUACCUGGGGCUAAUGACGGUACCGUAAGAAUAAGCACCGGCUAACUACGUGCCAGCAGCCGCGGUAAUACGUAGGGUGCGAGCGUUAAUCGGAAUUACUGGGCGUAAAGCGCGCGUAGGUGGUUCAGUAAGUUGGAAGUGAAAUCCCCGGGCUCAACCUGGGAACUGCUUUCAAAACUGCUGAGCUAGAGUACGGUAGAGGGGGAUGGAAUUCCGCGUGUAGCAGUGAAAUGCGUAGAUAUGCGGAGGAACACCGAUGGCGAAGGCAGUCCCCUGGGCCUGUACUGACGCUCAUGCACGAAAGCGUGGGGAGCAAACAGGAUUAGAUACCCCUGUAGUCC